GAUGAACGCUAGCGGCAGGCUUAAUACAUGCAAGUCGAGGGGCAGCAUGGUGUAGCAAUACACUGAUGGCGACCGGCAAACGGGUGCGGAACACGUACAGAACCUUCCUUCGAGCGGGGAAUAGCCCAGAGAAAUUUGGAUUAAUACCCCAUAGUACACUGAGGCGGCAUCGUUUAAUGUUAAAGAUUUAUCACUUGAAGAUGGCUGUGCGGCUGAUUAGGUAGUUGGCGGGGUAACGGCCCACCAAGCCUGCGAUCAGUAACUGGUGUGAGAGCACGACCAGACACACGGGCACUGAGACACGGGCCCGACUCCUACGGGAGGCAGCAGUAAGGAAUAUCGGUCAAUGGACGAAAGUCUGAACCAGCCAUGCCGCGUGGAGGAUGAAGGUCCUCUGGAUUGUAAACUUCUUUUAUAUGGGACGAAAAAGGACGUUUCUUAGCUCGUCUGACGGUACCAUAUGAAUAAGCACCGG
rnacentral:rRNA from 1 species